UGAGAGGAGCCAGAAGAAAAAGCUUGCCUUUCCUGGCUUCUUUAGAAUCUGGCGAGGCUGGGUGGAAUGGAGAAGUAAGGGAAGAUGCCUGUGGCCGGUACCUUGAAGACUUGACUCCUGUGAUUCUGUGUGCUGUAGCGCCGGUACCUUGCGGCAGUCGUCUCCCCCGUCCAGCAUCAGAAGGCGCUCUUGCGCCAUCGCCAGGCUGACAGCCCGCUCUCGGCGUGGCGACACUCUAGUCGCCGUUUCUCUAUGUCAAACAGGGCGCCCUCCUGAGCAGCCGGACCUCAGCCGGGAGGAGGCUCGCACUCCGAGCGCGCAGCCUGCGGGCGCGGGUCAUGGCGCGGCUCCCGAAGCUCGCGGUCUUUGAUCUGGAUUACACGCUCUGGCCUUUCUGGGUCGACACGCACGUAGAUCCCCCGUUCUACAAGAGCAGUGAUGGGACUGUACGAGAUAGGCGGGGCCAGAACGUCCGACUGUACCCAGAGGUGCCUGAAGUCCUGGAACGAUUGCACGGCCUUGGGGUGCCGGUCGCGGCCGCUUCACGGACAAGUGAGAUAGAAGGGGCCAACCAGCUACUGGAGCUCUUUGACCUUGUCAGAUACUUUGUUCAUCGGGAAAUCUAUCCGGGCAGCAAGGUCACACACUUUGAGAGGUUGCAGCAGAAGACUGGAGUUCCUUUCUCCCAGAUGAUCUUCUUUGAUGAUGAGAGGAGGAAUAUUGUAGAUGUCAGCAAACUGGGUACUGAGUGGUGUUACUUGCAUUCACGUCCAAAACGGAAUGAAUCUGCAAGCCUUAACUCAAGGAUUAGAGAUGUUUGCAAAAGCCCAGAUUGGGCCCUGAGGUCCAGCCCUAUGAAUGAGCCUCAUUUGAGGCCUAAAACUGAAAGGAAAUCAAGAAAGCAUUUUCAGGGAAGGAGAAGGGGCCAACCCCUGAAGCAGCAAUACAGCAACUGAAGGAGACAGAAAAGAUACUGAUCAAGAAACAGGAGUUUCUGGAGCAGAAGAUUCAACAGGAGCUACAAAUGGCCAAGAAGCACGGGACCAAGAAUAAGAGAGCCGCCCUGCAGGCUUUGCGGAGGAAGAAAAGAUUGGAACAGCAGCUGGCACAAACUGACGGGACAUUAUCUACCCUGGAGCUUCAGCGUGAGGCCCUUGAGAAUGCUACCAGCAAUGCAGAAGUGCUUCGUACCAUGGAGCUUGCUGCCCGAGGCAUGAAGAAGGCCUACCAGGACAUGGACAUUGACAAGGUGGAUGAACUGAUGGCUGACAUCACAGAACAACAGGAGGUGGCCCAGCAGAUCGCAGAUGCCAUUUCUCGGCCUGUGGGCUUUGGAGAUGAUGUGGAUGAGGAUGAACUGUUGGAGGAACUAGAGGAGCUGGAGCAGGAGGAAUUGGCCCGGGAGUUGUUAAUUGUGGGAGACAAGAAAGAAGAACCUCCAAUCAAAUUGCCUAGUGUACCCAGUAUACAUCUGCCUGCAGGGCCAGCUUCCAAAGUGGAUGAAGACGAAGAUGCACUAAAGCAGUUGACUGAGUGGGUAUCCUGAUGAGUCUGGGCUCGUCUUUCUUAUGCUGCCUCUGUUGAUCACUUUUCCUUAAGUGCCAAGUGCUGAGCUAAAGGAGCAUAGAUUUUUUGGGAGGUCCUGCUGAGGGUGGUAGUGUGACCAUGCCUGAGCAAGGCGUCUAUUGCCCUCCCAUCCCUGGCUCAACUCUGAAGGAUCUUGCUGGUUAUGGAGCCCUGGGCUCCCUUCUCUUUGAAAGCAGUUACUGUGUCCUUGUUCCCAAUAAAACUGGACAGAUGGAA